rnacentral:rRNA from 1 species
GAGUUUGAUCCUGGCUCAGAGUGAACGCUGGCGGUAGGCCUAACACAUGCAAGUCGAACGGCAGCACAGGAGAGCUUGUUCUCUGGGUGGCGAGUGGCGGACGGGUGAGGAAUACAUCGGAAUCUACUCUGUCGUGGGGGAUAACGUAGGGAAACUUACGCUAAUACCGCAUACGACCUAAGGGUGAAAGUGGGGGACCGCAAGGCCUCACGCGAUUGAAUGAGCCGAUGUCGGAUUAGCUAGUUGGCGGGGUAAAGGCCCACCAAGGCGACGAUCCGUAGCUGGUCUGAGAGGAUGAUCAGCCACACUGGAACUGAGACACGGUCCAGACUCCUACGGGAGGCAGCAGUGGGGAAUAUUGGACAAUGGGCGCAAGCCUGAUCCAGCCAUACCGCGUGAGUGAAGAAGGCCCUCGGGUUGUAAAGCUCUUUU